UUUUAUCCGUUGGGGUGCCGUAAAGGCUGAGAGGCGAAAGCCGACCCAUCGAACCUGAUCCGGGUCAUGCCGGCGUAGGGAACGGAGCAAAGCUGUGG
rfam:Roseisalinus antarcticus strain CECT 7023 genome assembly, contig: 0027